UACGGAGGGGGCAAGCGUUGUUCGGAUUUACUGGGCGUAAAGGGUGUGUAGGCGGCUGGAUAAGUCUGGCGUGAAAUCUUCACCGCUUAACGGGAAGGGGUCGCUGGAAACUGUUCAGCUUGAGUAUGGUAGAGGCAAGCGGAAUUCCUGGUGUAGCGGUGGAAUGUGUAGAUAUCAGGAGGAACACCGGUGGUGUAGACGGCUUUCUGGACCGUAACUGACGCUGAGACACGAAAGCGUGGGUAGCAAACAGG
rnacentral:rRNA from 1 species